GGCUCUGUUGGGAGAGCGUCAGACUGAAGAUCUGGAGGUCGCGUGUUCGAUCCACGC
rnacentral:tRNA from 1 species